rnacentral:rRNA from 1 species
UGGCGUGCCUUUUGUAGAAUGAACCGGCGAGUUACGAUCCCGUGCGAGGUUAAGCUGAAGAGGCGGAGCCGCAGCGAAAGCGAGUCUGAAUAGGGCGUUUAGUACGUGGUCGUAGACCCGAAACCAGGUGAUCUACCCAUGUCCAGGGUGAAGUUCAGGUAACACUGAAUGGAGGCCCGAACCCACGCACGUUGAAAAGUGCGGGGAUGAGGUGUGGGUAGCGGAGAAAUUCCAAUCGAACCUGGAGAUAGCUGGUUCUCCCCGAAAUAGCUUUAGGGCUAGCCUUAAGUGUAAGAGUCUUGGAGGUAGAGCACUGAUUGGACUAGGGGUCCUCAUCGGAUUACCGAAUUCAGUCAAACUCCGAAUGCCAAUGACUUAUCCUUAGGAGUCAGACUGCGAGUGAUAAGAUCCGUAGUCAAAAGGGAAACAGCCCAGACCGCCAGCUAAGGUCCCAAAGUGUGUAUUAAGUGGAAAAGGAUGUGGAGUUGCUUAGACAACUAGGAUGUUGGCUUAGAAGCAGCCACCAUUUAAAGAGUGCGUAAUAGCUCACUAGUCGAGUGACUCUGCGCCGAAAAUGUACCGGGGCUAAAUACACCACCGAAGCUGCGGAUUGAUACCGAAUGGUAUCAGGGGUAGGGGAGCGUUCUAAGGACAGUGAAGUCAGACCGGAAGGACUGGUGGAGUGCGUAGAAGUGAGAAUGCCGGUAUGAGUAGCGAAAGACGGGUGAGAAUCCCGUCCACCGAAUGCCUAAGGUUUCCUGAGGAAGGCUCGUCCGCUCAGGGUUAGUCAGGACCUAAGCCGAGGCCGACAGGCGUAGGCGAUGGACAACAGGUUGAUAUUCCUGUACCACCUCUUUAUCGUUUGAGCAAUGGAGGGACGCAGAAGGAUAGAAGAAGCGUGCGAUUGGUUGUGCACGUCCAAGCAGUUAGGCUGAUAAGUAGGCAAAUCCGCUUAUCGUAAAGGCUGAGCUGUGAUGGGGAAGCUCCUUAUGGAGCGAAGUCUUUGAUUCCCCGCUGCCAAGAAAAGCUUCUAGCGAGAUAAAAGGUGCCUGUACCGCAAACCGACACAGGUAGGCGAGGAGAGAAUCCUAAGGUGUGCGAGAGAACUCUGGUUAAGGACCUCGGCAAAAUGACCCCGUAACUUCGGGAGAAGGGGUGCUUUCUUAACGGAAAGCCGCAGUGAAUAGGCCCAAGCGACUGUUUAGCAAAAACACAGCUCUCUGCGAAGCCGUAAGGCGAAGUAUAGGGGGUGACACCUGCCCGGUGCUGGAAGGUUAAGGAGAGGGGUUAGCGUAAGCGAAGCUCUGAACUGAAGCCCCAGUAAACGGCGGCCGUAACUAUAACGGUCCUAAGGUAGCGAAAUUCCUUGUCGGGUAAGUUCCGACCCGCACGAAAGGUGUAACGAUUUGGGCACUGUCUCAACCAGAGACUCGGUGAAAUUAUAGUACCUGUGAAGAUGCAGGUUACCCGCGACAGGACGGAAAGACCCCGUGGAGCUUUACUGUAGCCUGAUAUUGAAUUUUGGUACAGUUUGUACAGGAUAGGCGGGAGCCUUUGAAACCGGAGCGCUAGCUUCGGUGGAGGCGCUGG